rnacentral:lncRNA from 1 species
UGUAUGAACACAGUGCAGCAAGGUUACACCUCGAGUGUCGUCUGAGAAGUGGCGGUUGUAUUUUGUUGAGCUGGUUUCUCGCUGCUCCGGCUGUGCAAACAUAUAUUAUUGGACUUUUCUGACGGACACAUUUGGUUCUUACAACGGUGCAAAGACAUGAACUUCGCCACUUGCUAUUGUCUUUCUCUACUAUUUAUAAUAGUAGUACAAUGUAAACCAUCUUGCCAUCCCUAUCAGAAGGAUGGUCUCACACACUACCUGUUGUUAGACCCAGAGGGGGUUUUGAAUGCCCCACCCACCGACUGUGAUGUUUCAUACGAACUUCAAAACGGCACUAAUAUCGCCAACCUGAACGGAAAUAAACUCCCUUACGUGAUAGAUAUUACCAUCAAUGGACUCACAACCACGAUGUGUUUCACAUAUAUUGGCAUCACGUGCGCCUGCAACUUAAAGUCAGCUGUAGUGAAACAACUCCCUCCACUGUGGAUCAAAGCAUCAAACCCACUCCCUCCACUGUGGAUCAAAGAAACCAUCUCCUACUUAAGAUCCUCUUGCCCAUUGGACUUGUGGUGGUGGUCAUUGUUACCAUUGUUGCUCUGGUGUGUCUAUGGAAGGGAAAGAAAAUCAGGUAAAUUUUUCAUCAUAUUGGGACAUGAAAAUACUUGCAUUUAUUUUUCUUAGAAUUAACCAACAUAUAUUGUGUCACAUAGAUGCUCCAUGUUCAGAUUCUACACGUUGGUGAAGACAACCAACGAGGAACACCAAGCAAACGACAUUGAGCUUGGAGAAGUGAAUUAGGAAUGAGUAUUUCUAAAAUAUUUUGGCCCAUUUUAAAAAAAACAAAAAAACAUUUAAAAUGGCUUUUUUUUUUUAGAUACAAUACUGUACAUGCAUCUAUAGUAAUAUAUAGACUUAUUAUCACCUCACACAAUUACACACACAGCACACUGCUUUUACCUUUUGAAAUGUUUAUAUUUAAAUAUUGUGUUCAUACUUUGACUAUUUCUGACCUUUUCUUACUGACUUUUUAAACUCCCCUUAGGGAAACCUACACUGGUGUGAAAGUGAAUGAAAGCUGUGGAAGCUAAGACACAUUACACCCCAUUUACAGGUUUAGAUCACAGCAGUAAGAUUAACCUGAUUGUUUAAAAUACUUAUGGCAGGGGUCACCAACACGGGGCCCGUGGGCACCAGGGAGCCCGUAUGGACCAUGUGAGGUUCCCUCAGGAGCUCUAGUCACCAAUGAGCUCCAUUUAAAAUCUGAUUUACUUUCCAGGAUUCAAACUCAUUUUGAUUUUCAUAAAAUGAAUAAAUUGUUACAUUUUACAAAUGUUACA